UAGGAGGGAAGGGUCGAUUGCCCUGUUUCCAUCAAGUCAGUAGGUUGACGGCGAACUUCGUCGAUUCCGGACACAGCACGGCGGCGCAUCGGACCGAAGCCGUGGCGAGCUCGCCAAUUUCCAGAAAAAUAAUGGAGAAUUAGCACCCUCGGCGGCCUGACGAGCAGCGGACGCCGCUGCGAGUGAAGCGGCGCGGUGAAUCUCGCCGGCCUUCCAGUUGCAGUGGCGGCAGUCUUCGUUUCUCUGGUAGAGCUAGGGCUCAACGGAGAGGCGAUUUCCGGCCAAGAAAAGCGCGGCGGCGCUGGAAGGUUUAACAGCAGCAGGAAGCGGCGGUGUCGAAAGAGUAGCAGCGGCGACCUUCCCGAUUUCAGGGCUCGACGUCAGAGCGGGAUUUAUGAGGAUGGGAGACGAACGGCGCUGCUUCCAGGAGGCGACCGCCCGUCGGAUUCCAGAUGGAGGUGCGACAUCGGCGAUGACUUCCUUAGAUUCAGGGCUCGAUUGGGUUCUGCGGAUGGACCAAAGGAGCAGAAAGAGAACGGUGCCGGGGUUAGACGCGUCAACAGACGACGCCGGCCGAAGCAAGCGACGGCUGAACGGCUGGAGAAGGCAGCCGACCAGAUUUAGCGGAGGAGAAUAAGCCGAUCGGCUUUGUGAGAAAGGUGAGAAUGUGUUUUGAGUUAGAGAGAGAGACCGACAUUUUGAGAGAGAGA
rnacentral:lncRNA from 1 species